CAAUCACUGACAUGUGACAAGCAAAAAUGUCAACAUCUUGGACGGCAGUAAUGAAAAGGUCAUCAGUAUGAUUGAAUUUAAGAAAUGUUUUGAUUUGACAGGUUCAAUUACUGCUUUUAUAUACCGAAGACGACAAGAUCACGGAGUAUCAGAUGCUGCGUCCAUAUCUCACCGAGUUCUGACACAAGAAAAGGAUGGAUCCAUCAUAUAUUCCUGGAAUGACUUCAGUCCUCCAAACAAGAAGUCCGGAUCCCUCGUGACCCAUGUAGGGCUGUUUAACCCAGUUACUCAACAACACAAGGUUAUACAAGUCAACAACCAGAGGCUGAAGAUUGUGUCCUGCUCCAUCAACAAGUCAAAGACGCUGCUAGCUUUUACAACCUUCUCCAGGGGGGAUGCAUCUAAAGAUGGAAAGACAGGAAGAGAGAUGUACCGAGCAUACCUUGCAGAGUUACAGGCCUUGGAGACUCGUGUCUUCUCCCUCAACCUUGAGCGACGCAACUUCCUCAAAGUCCAGUUUCUGUAUGCUAGUCUUUCCGACCAAUCAGCUCCCAGGGAGUCCCAUCUUCUAGUCUUCCUUCAUAAAGAGUCAAUAGGUUUAUACAAGAUCCCUAUGGCUAGAGCUGGGGAUAAGAGAACUAUCAUGUCUGACCAACCACACACCAUGCAGUUAGUGCGGAAGUUUGUGUGGUGUCAGUGGGACGCCGUCAACCAGCGACUCCACUACAUCUACAACUACCGCCCACAAGGAGACAACAGCAACGUCGUGGCACAGAAACUUUCAACUCUUCAGUUCCAUCAGAACGCUGACUAUGACAGCAUGCUUGACAUUCCAUUGAAGUUCCCAUUUCCCUACAUCAGGUCAACUUUAAGAUCCCACUAUGCAGAUCGACCACUGAAUCCUGGAAUUCCUGAUGUAAGUUUAAAUGCCUGUGUGCUGAGUCAGGCUAACGGGACUUACUGCCUGUGCUAUCAACAUAUGGCCUUCACCUCCAGCAAGGGCAAGGCCUCACCAACAGCAGCGGCAGACAGCGACAAUGUCAUCAACUACUACAUCUGCAUGGUGCAUCACACAAAAGUUCUCCAUGGGUGUGUUCCAGGACUGCCGAGGAGUUUGAUUGGAUCACGUAGACUUUCCUUUCACUGGAUUGGUGACUACCUGAUGGUGCUUCUCCCAGGAUACUUUGUCCAUCUGCUCAAUGUCGGGAUCGAGUUUGAACCGUGCCACCACAUCCUCCUUCACAAUCAUGCCAGGGACCGGUUGAUGACCUCAAGCACAGCCAGCAUGAUGACCUCUGACCCAGAGAAUGAUCCUGCCCACGGGAGUGUGUCCGCCUCUGACAUGGAAGGGACUGACACGCGGCCAGACACCCGCACCUACACUGUCCGGUUCCAGCUGGUGGACACCAUGAUCCCGACAGACGAGCAGUGUGUGAGCCAGGCCUCCCUGCAAUCACGGACACUUGACAUGCCAGACACCAUGUCUGUGACCAGUCAUCAGUGUAGGAACAUCCACUCGCUGUCACCAUGCAGGACGUUCACCAGAGAAAUAGGGGGCAGUGUGUACGACUACCGUAAUGGCCAGGUGUGGAAGGUUGGCGUGUCACUGGAGGGGCUGGCGGAGAGCUUCAAGGCAGCUUACACCCCGACCCGACAAGCUCUGUUACACUACCUCAUCAUACGGACAAAAGACAUCUACACAAUCAAAAAGAUCUUCAGCGACAUCUGCCAGGACCUGACAAAGACAGAGCUGACACAGUCCAUUGCUGAAUACCUUGUUGCGUCCACCUACAGCAGCAUGAAGCGGCAGCUGGAAAAGGAAGUAUUGCGGUUCCUGCCAUUCACUGCCACAGACACAUUACGUGGCCAGUUUGAACGGAGCCCUUCAGGAGACAGACUUGCCCGUCUGUCCUACACGUCGUUCGACAGUAUCAACAUCAGUACCAAGACAGCCCGAGAGAGGGAGAGUCAGCAGCCAGUCAGUGAAGACAUGUGGGACAUCCUACGACGCAGACUCAGGAUGAGACAACUGGAUCAUGCCCCACGAUUUAACCUGGACAUCAUUGGCAAGCAGUUCGCAAAAAUCACAUCAGAUGAGGAGAGAGAGAGGGUCAAGUGGGAGAGAGUUAUUAAACCAUCCAGAGAGGCGUUCCUCGGAAGCAUUCACAGAACCAACAGGGAUACCCCAGUGCAAGCGUCUAAUGGUGGCAGUGGGCGACGUAGUCGGACAGAGAUGGUGCUCGGACCUCAGCCUCAGUUCCUGCAGGGCGCCUAUGGUGAAGAUGUGUCCAGGACAAGGAAGCUAAAUGCACUGACAGAAGACUUGCUUACGUCCUACCUGGCUCGCCAUCUCAAGAAGGACAACAAGGUGAAGGCUCACAACGUGGCCAAGGAAUAUGUGGCAUGUCAGGUACAGAAGACCAAGCAGCUGUGUCACCUGUUAUGGAGUCUGAGACGGACAGAAUCAUCUGGGUAUGACGACGACAUCCUUCCCAACCUGUGUGAAGCAGCGGAUGACGAGGAGUAUGAACUGUUCCAGCUGUACGAGAGACUCUAUCUGAUGCUGUGUGAACUCUGCUUCCCCUCCCCCCCAGGUUUCCAGACCUAUUUCACAGCUCUCGGCUUCCGCUGUCUGCACUUGAGUAUGUGGACCGAGGAGUCUUGUCCCUCACUGGCCAGUUUGUCACACAGCUUCUUGCAGAUGUGCCUGAUUGUGACGAGGAUAAAGAAAAUUCAGAGAUCAAAUACCAGAUCAUUUCCAGAUUGCCAAAGACACUAGCUGAAGAGUGUUUCCGCCUCUGGAACCAUCCCCUGUGUGACCGUUACUUCGCCCAUCAGCAGGUGACGGAGAUACUACUAGAAGGAGCCAAAUUAGCAAAAGGGAAAGAAGACACAAGAGAAGGUCUGUC
rnacentral:misc_RNA from 1 species